rnacentral:rRNA from 1 species
GAGUUUGAUCCUGGCUCAGGAUGAACGCUGGCGGCGUGCUUAAGACAUGCAAGUCGAACGCAGUCGCUCCGCAAGGGGCGGCUGAGUGGCGAAUGGGUGCGUAACACGUAGGUGACCUGCCCGGAAGUGGGGAAUAACAGUCCGAAAGGACUGCUAAUACCGCAUGUGGUGCUGGGGUUUUGAAGCCUGGUACCAAAGGUGCUCGCAAGAGUGCCGCUUUCGGAGGGGCCUGCGGCCCAUCAGCUAGUUGGUAGGGUAACGGCCUACCAAGGCGACGACGGGUAGGGGACCUGAGAGGGUGACCCCCCCACACUGGCACUGACACACGGGCCAGACUCCUACGGGAGGCAGCAGUCGGGAAUAUUGCACAAUGGACGAAAGUCUGAUGCAGCAACGCCGCGUGCGCGAUGAAGGCCUUGGGUCGUAAAGCGCUUUCGGGUGGAUGAGAUAGGACAGUACACCCGGAAUAAGGAACGGCUAACUACGUGCC